rnacentral:tmRNA from 1 species
GGGGACGAAACGGUUUCGACGGGGGUGAAGAGGUCAGGAGUGGCACGCCGGGGUUCCUCGGCGCCCCGUCAACAAACCGAGGGACAAAGUAAACGCAGACUAUGCGUAUCCUCUGGCUGCCUAAUUAACGGCAGUCACGCUCCUCUCGGGUUCCGCCCGUCGACCUGAGGGAGAGCGUCGGCCAGACGGGCUGGCUCGAAUCCUCGCCCCGGGGAUUCGGGCAAGACAAGACGGGGCUGGCUCCGCGGCAGCCUGGUCCGUUGCGCUGCCUGGAGCGAGAAGGAGCAGCGGACUAAGCGUGUAGAGGCUCCUCGCCAAACACCUCCGGACGUGGGUUCGACUCCCACCGUCUCCACCA